CUAUCUAUGCCAAUGUGGAUGAUGUGACUAUCUAUGCCAAUGAGAUGUGCAUGAUUGGAAAAGGCCAGUGUGACUGAUGAUACUGUCUACUCAGAGCUGAAGCACAACAUGGAGUGAGCCAUGUGUCUGUUCUGUUGAAGCUACAGUUAUCAACCAGAUAGAAGGAAAGUGUUUGGAAAAAUGAUGAAAAAUGUGUCAGUUAUAGAUAGAUAGAUAGAUAGAUAGAUAGAUAGAUAGAUAGAUAGAUAGAUAGAUAGAUAGAUAGAUAGAUAGAUAGAUAGAUAGAUAGAUAGAUAGAUAGAUAGAUAGAUAGAUAGAUAGAUAGAUAGAUAGAUAGAUAGAUAGAUAGAUAGAUAGAUAGAUAGAUAGAUAGAUGGAUUGAUGGAUAGAUAGAUAGAUAGAUA